GCGAGUUGCAAAGCUCCCUACAACCCCUGUGAACAUACCUAUUCGUCGUUGCUUCGGCGGGCGGCACCCCUGUGGGCGCGCUGGGAAACCGGCCGCCCGCGGCGUGCCCCUCGGCCCCCCCUCUGGGGGGUGCCCGCCGGGGGACCAACACCCCUAUGCUGUCUCCUGUGGUCUCCUCUGAGUUGGCAUGUUGAAUACGCGAUA
rnacentral:misc_RNA from 1 species